rnacentral:lncRNA from 1 species
UGAAUGAACAAGCUUGUUGUGUUUAUGAAACCUAAGGAUGCAUUAAAUAUUUAAAUAGGCGUUAGCUUCUAAUUAGAAAGAUACCUUCUACGGUUUUAAUAUUUGAAGCUGAUUAAAAAUGAAGGAGGCUGCAGCUCUGAUGACCUGUCAUCUAUAUUCACCCUGUAGAUCCGAAUUUGUGUAAACAUGACAGACGCUGCAAAUUCGCAUCUUGGGGAGGAUGUAGGUGAUGACCCUUCACCUGGAGGGGGGACUCCUGCCAAGUGGGGGCCCGCUGCAUUUUCAGUUGUGAGUGCCCGUCCAGCGUUGCCCUCGGAGUGGUUCCCUCUCAUUGUUGUCGAGGAGGAGUUUUACUUCACGCCAUGGGAAAAAAAAAGAAGCGAGGAGGAUCUCAACAAACAGCUCCAGCAGACUCCCAGACCGCCGCCGCCCUGAUUGCGAGACGAGAGCCGUGGAAAAACAGUAAGUCCAACUCGUUUUUGCUCCGGAAAAGUGCAGAAAAGUGACCACAACACCCCACCAUUAUCAGAUUUUGCUCUGAAUAAUCUCAGUUCCUCCAACAAAGCUGAUUUAACCACCUAUCUGAUGUUUGUGGUGUUCACUUCCUCUACGUUUUAAUAAUAUUUCAUUUUCCCCCCCUCGAAACGAACACUUGUUUUACAUUUUAAUAGCUGUUUUGUUCCUUUGUGAGGUUUCUUUUUUUAAAGUAAAAUUUAGCAAUGCAUUCACAGUCUGAUGUAUUUAUUUGCGCUGUUGCUUGCUUAUGUUGUGGGAAAUGAAGUUACCACUGUUGAUUCAACUGUCUCUGAAUUAAUUCCGAGCCAUAAAUCCGCCUCCUUGUGGACACGUGGUUCCCGCCGCUAAUUGACAAGAGAGGUUGAGGCGUGCUUGCAUUUGUCAGCAGGCCUGCACGCUGAAUAGAGGGUGUGUGUGUGUGUGUGUGUGUGUGUGUGUGCGUGUGUGCGUGUGUGCGCGCGCGUGUGUGUGUGCGUGCGUGUGUGUGCUCAUUGUUGCAAAAAAAGGAGUCCCAUCUGAUAAUAAUACCGUUGCGGGAUCAAAUAUAAAUCCAUAUUUAUUGUAUUAAUUUCUAUCACGUGACCUCUCGAAGGCUGCACCCUCACUGCUGUUUUCCUGUGUGUUCAUACAGCCCCUUUUUUACGGCCCACUGUUGGGGAUUAGUGAGAUUUAUGGCGCAUUUACACAUUAAUGUUACCACUUUAUUAGGAAAAACUGCCUUUAAUAAUAUUCAGUAAUGUGCAGCUCAGUCCGCCUAAGCCGCCCUGACACUAAAGGUCAUUUCACAUUUGCAGAGCUUUAAGCCUGGCGGAGCACAGUUGUCAUUAUUAUGCUGUCUAACAAGUGAACGUACACUUUAAAUUAAAACGGCUGGAUCCUUUGUCAGAGACGUAAUGGCUCCUUCUUUGAGCCAUCCUCCUCCUCAGUAAGACAAACUCUUUACCUGAUGACUUAAUUAGCUCAUUCUUCAUCCCCCCAAAAAACCCAACAACGAACGUGGCGCAACGAUCGGGUCACCCCGCAUUCAAAUUCGGGCACCACGCACGGCUCACGGAUCAAAAGCGGCUCAUUAGCAUUAAUUAACGCCGCCAGUUAAAUAUUACCUCUUAGAACCGAUCAAAGCGAUCGGCUAAGACGAGAUCAAAGCAUCGCUUAUCGAUCAGCUACAGCUGAUCAGACUGAUUGGUGAUGAGUCUGAACUUAUAUAUGUAUAUAUAUCUAUAGGUAAAGGCUGCUGCUGAGCACCCUUCGACUCUAGGUCCCCCGUUUAAAUGAAAAAUAGAUUUCAUUACAGAAACCACGUCACCUCCCCGGUUUGUUAAAGGAAAAAAGUGAUGGCUUCCUGCGCGUCAGUGAUUUAUGGCGCCUCCUCAAUGGGAUGUUUUCAUCUAUUAUAAAG